UUUGGCAAAACAUGACAUUGUUUGAAAAUAGAAAGAGCUUACAAAAGUUGCAGAGAAAUGGGCAGUACGGAUCCUCAGUAGCUCCUGUUAGAAAAGCUCCCAAAAAAAACCAGUGCAAAGUGCUCUUCUUUCUGGGUAAGAAUUUCAUACUAUUCUUGUUUUUUCCCCUUAAAUACGUCCAUCUUCUGUAGUUUUUUGUUGGCUUUUGAUUGAUGGGUCUCCGUUUUUUCUUCCAUUUACAAUGAUGUGCUUUUGGGUUUUGCUUCUCUUUAGAAAGUUUAAUGGUUGAGUCUUUAUUUAAGUGGAUUAAUGUGGUAGUUAUUAUCUUUUCGUUAUGAGAAUUUUCUAUGGCAAAUGUAGUACAACACACAAAAGCGAAUCCAAGAUCAAGUUUUAUGAGUUUUGAAUUGUAGGACGGCGACCUUAAAUGCUAUUAAUUGAGUUAAAAACUAACUUUUUCUACAUAUUUAAUGAAUUUCACUGCUGAAUUCUGCGGAACCUGUAUCCUUAAAGCUACCUAUACCCUUGUCUCGAGGAUUUGAACUUUUAUCAAUUCGAGUUCGAAACUGUACCACAAUCCAUUUGAUUUAAUGGUUUAAAAUCUAUUAUUUGUAUUUCUAUAGUGAAUUCUUUUAGGCAUAUGCAUUGUCUAUGCUAAAGCUAUUGAGUUUGAAUAAACCCAUAACUUGAUUCUACAUCCACCCUUGAACACAACAACAUAAUAAUCUCACUAGUGGAGGAAAAGUAGAGUGUACGCACACCUUACCCUAUUCAGCACAUGUGCUUGACACAGGUCCUGAGUUUUAAAUCCUGAAGGUGAACUAAGUGUAGUAUUUAUGUAGAGGGGUAGAGGGGUGUGUUAGGACCGAAAAUAUAUCAGGUGUCAUGUGGAAGCUAGCAAAUCAAACCUUGAACGAUGAUAAAUCAUACAACAAAGAGAAAUCUACCAAAAUAGACACAAACAUAUAUCUUGGUUCAGCCAAUUGACCUACGUUCAAGGCGGAGAUGAGCAAUCCACUAUAUAAUAGAGAGUACAAAACAUUGAGAGAACAACCUCACGAAGAAGCAAACAUAAGUGAUACACUAACACUUGUCCCGUAAAGUUCUCCCCCUAAACAAGACUCUCAAGCCCCCUAUGGCUACAUUGUGGGUGCUGGUGAAUGAGAAGUAAGGAUCCUAAAUUUAUAGAAAUCCAAACAUUUUCCUAUUAAAAAAGACCAGCCAAGUAUAGGAGAAUUAUAAUUUCCUUCUACAAAAAGGAAAAUCCAAUUAAGGUAAUUAUAUUGUCCAUUUCCUUCAACAAAAUAGGAAACCCAAAUAUGAUAAGAAAAUUAUGGCAAAUGCCUAACAUGGUGUUCCUGUUAUCCACAGAGUAUCCAAGUUGAAAACACCAGAUUUCUUCGUUAUAAAAAAAAAUCUGUGGAUGAUUGGGUACAAUUUCCAUGAUUUUCCAUCAACCCACGUUUGGAUUUUGGAAUUAAUGAAGAGAUCUCUGAACUAAUGACUUGUGUUUUAAUUAUGUUUGACUAAAGUAGUUUUCUAAAAGAUGAAAUUAUCAUGUCUGAUGGGAUUCUCAAAUUAUGUUGAAUUGGUAGGCAAAAACUGAAAUAGUGAAAUUGGGGUGGAGAGUCAGUUGGAUGACAGGCUGCAAAUACUCUAUGCUUAUUUGUACACAAUGGCCCUUUAGUUGAAUUUCUGUUUAAGGUUUCAGUAUGUCUAUUCACUCGGUAAAGUUUAACAUGAAUAUGUAGUUUGUGACUGUAGGAGUGUUACUAAUGUGUUCUAUUUAUGAAAUUUUUUAUUUAAAGGAAGUGUCAAUAUAUCCAUACCAGCUCAUCAGACUAGCUAGAUCCUCAAAUAACCAAAAGAAAAGUAUUGUAAGUUGGUCAGCUAAGACAAACAGAACCAAACCUACAAACAAGGAAAACAGCUAAACCUGUCUAAACAGCUCGUCCAUUUACAAUGUUCUUGCCCCACUAUAUGUAACUAUAGGACUUUGCUGAAUCUACGGCUUUUUCUUUCUAACCUGAUAUGAUAGACAGUCGCUGCAAAUAGAAAUCCCAAGAUGGCAUUCCAAAGUCUUCCUUUCUGUUGUCAAAGUAUUUUAGGGGGAGCGCAGGAUACAAAACAAAACGGCAGGUUUAUUAUGCAGAAGGUGUCUUCUCUCCAAUUUUGCCAGAUAUCAAUAAGAAAUAGUAUAUGAAUUACAACAUGCAACAAAGGUACUGAUUGAAAUAAAGAAAAAGAAAUCAAAUAGACGAUGUUACAUUUUAUGUUUUUGAUGACCUCAUAAAAUCAACUUUUAAACUCAGAAAAAACAGGGAAAAAGAAAUGGAAUUAGUUUAGUACUCAUCAAAAGUUUCUAGCAGUAUAAGAUGGUGAUAUAUGUAAUUUAUACGGGUUCAAUGCCGAAGACUACAAUGCAUGUCUUUUUUUAAAGUGUCUUUCCACCACCUAUUUAACAUUAGACAUUCAAUAUAUUGGACAACCGGUAACAUUAUUCUGAAUCAUGUGGGUUGAUGCAUAAUCAUGUUAAGUUGAGUCGAAUUAGCAUGACUUAUCUUGACUAGAAUACUAACCGACUUCAAAUUGUGCUCAAGCUAGACUGAUAUAAGCUUAGCUAAACUCUGUUCAAUAACAUAGAAAGUUGAACCAGUUUUUUUAUCGCUUUGUAGCAAAGCAUUGUAGUUUUUGUAAAUUAAUGAGGUCUCAAAGUCACAUCCAAUUUCUUGCAUCUUCCUUUUGUAUAACUUUCCUUUUUUGUUUUUAUUGAUUGUUUUGUGCUCCGACUGUCCAUGCCUCUUUCCAUAGUAGUAGGGUACUAUUGAGAAAUCGUUUCUACUCUUUCGUUUUCCUUCAACCACUAUUUUCGCUCUCCCCGUCAUCAUAUUCAGUAAGUAUCUUCUUCAGUUCUUAUGUAUAUGCUGCAGGAACCGUACACUGAAUUGAUACUUCAAUUUAAAAAGGAAAACGAAAAUAAAAAGAUGAAGUACAACAUAGUUCUUUAUCUGCCUUUUCUUAUCUUCUUAAUUUGGACCGUUAUUUGCUUAGUUGUGCAAGAGACUUUAUUGAGCUGGCUAGAUAUAAUGCUUGAUGAUGGAUAUCAUGUCAGCUGCUUAGUUUUCGUGUUUAAUUGUCCUCUCUUGUAACUAUGAAAACUGAAGUAAAUGAAGAAGUUGGUAUCUCUACGUAUAUUUUGAUUUUGCAGCUGCGAAGGCAUAUCAUAUAUUUAGAUAUAUGUCUCAACUUCUAUAAUUUCCGACCUAAUCGUCACUAAUGUUUCUAGCCUUCUUUUAAAACCAUGGGAGGUGGGAUGAAAGUUUUAGAACCUGAAAUGAGGCCAAAAACAUAUUGGGCGCUUCGUGUUGCUUAGCGGGCGCUUCACUAUCAUCAUCAAGGCUCUAAGGAACUUUUCCUUCAAUGAGCGUAUUCCGGAAAAGGCUUUACAAAACAUUUGAUAUUUCACUUAUUGUAAUUUUUUUUUUGCAAUUCCUUUGUCUAUAUAUUUGUUAUUCACGCUUAUAAUUAUUAGUCCCGGACAACACAUAUAUUUGAAUUUUUUCCAUUUGCG
rnacentral:lncRNA from 1 species